CAGCAGUAGCCGCGGGAAUACGUAGGGUGCAAGCGUUAAUCGGAAUUACUGGGCGUAAAGCGUGCGCAGGCGGUGUUGUAAGACUGAUGUGAAAUCCCCGGGCUCAACCUGGGAACUGCAUUGGUGACUGCAGCGCUGGAGUGCGGCAGAGGGGGAUGGAAUUCCGCGUGUAGCAGUGAAAUGCGUAGAUAUGCGGAGGAACACCGAUGGCGAAGGCAAUCCCCUGGGCCUGCACUGACGCUCAUGCACGAAAGCGUGGGGAGCAAACAGGAUUAGAUACCCGUGUAGUCCCUGUCUCUUAUAC
rnacentral:rRNA from 1 species